rnacentral:rRNA from 1 species
UACGUAGGGUGCGAGCGUUGUCCGGAAUUAUUGGGCGUAAAGGGCUCGUAGGCGGUCUGUCACGUCGGGAGUGAAAACUCAGGGCUUAACCCUGAGCCUGCUUCCGAUACGGGCAGACUAGAGGUAUGCAGGGGGAGAACGGAAUUCCUGGUGGUAGCGGUGAAAUGCGCAGAUAUCAGGAGGAACACCGGUGGCGAAGGCGGGGUUGCUGGGGCUGACACUGACGUGAUGUGCGAAAACUAGGGGGAGCAACGGGGAU